AACAGCUUAAUUCUUUACUCAUCACAGUCUCAGCCAGCCUGGGCUAUAAAGUUGUUACUACUCUACUUUUCUCAUGGGGGAUCUGGGGCCAGUCUGGACCAAGUCACCUAGUAACUGGCAGAGCCAGGACCUGAAGUCUUGUCAGUCUUGACUCAAAGACUCCACCCAUCAUACACACUGCUUCCAACACAAAAGGAACCAACAUUCUCUGUCCUUGGGCAUUCACCAAGGGUUCCACCAAAAUUAACCAAUUUUUCAUUGGGCCUGUGCCUGGUUCUCAGUAUCCUGAUGAUGCAGGCAUCGUUAAAUGGAGGUCCCACCGAGAUCAGGUAGAGAGGAGUACCUGAAAAGAUCGUCCCAGGAAGCCGGCCGGCGAAGGAGGGACACAUUGGAGAAAAAUGGGCCAGGAAAGGCCUCAGUUGGCAGGAUACAGAAGGAGACCGCGGGAAUUGAAAGCACAUGCAAAGAAAAAUAAAGAUUUGAGCUAGUGGCCUGCUCCCAGUUCUCAGUAUCCUGACGAUGCAGGCAUCGACAAUGCAGUGCACGUGUCUUUCCAAAGCUGACCAGAGGAUACUGAAGGAGCUCCAUAGGUUAGCACAUAUUCACUCUGUAAUUCACUCUGUUUGCCACUUAGUUUGCCUGUGGACAAUUAAGUUUUCAGGUUCCAACCAAUGCUGUUGUCUGCUCUGAGGUGGCAAUUGCCUGUGACCUAAAGGGAAGAAAUCAAGUGUAUUGCUGAUGUUAUUGCUACUA
rnacentral:sRNA from 1 species